CCUACGGGUGGCAGCAGUGGGGGAUAUUGCACAAUGGGGGAAACCCUGAUGCAGCGACGCCGCGUGUGGGAAGACGGUCCUCUGGAUUGUAAACCACUGUCCCCAGGGACGAAAAUGACGAUACCUAGGGAUGAAGCUCCGGCUAACUACGUGCCAGCAGCCGCGGUAAUACGGAGGGAGCGAGCGUUGUGCGGAAUUACUGGGUGUAACGGUAGCGUAGGCGGGGAUGCAAGUUGGGUGUCAAAUCUACGUGCUCAACUUGUAGUAGCACUCAAAACUGGAGCUCUUGAGUGAAGUAGAGGUAGGCGGAAUUCGUGGUGUAGCGGUGAAAUGCGUAGAUAUUAGGAGGAACACCGGUGGCGAAGGCGGCCUGCUGGGCUUUUACUGACGCUGAGGCUCGAAAGUGUGGGGAGCAAACAGGAUUAGAUACCCGUGUAGUC
rnacentral:rRNA from 1 species